UUGGCGAACGGGUGAGUAACGCGUGAGUAACCUGCCCUGGAGUGGGGGACAACAGUUGGAAACGACUGCUAAUACCGCAUAAGCCCACGGCCCGGCAUCGGGCUGCGGGAAAAGGAUUUAUUCGCUUCAGGAUGGACUCGCGUCCAAUUAGCUAGUUGGUGAGGUAACGGCCCACCAAGGCGACGAUUGGUAGCCGGACUGAGAGGUUGAACGGCCACAUUGGGACUGAGACACGGGCCCAG
rnacentral:rRNA from 1 species